CGCAGCCGCGGUAAUUCCAGCUCCAAUAGCGUAUAUUAAAGUUGUUGCAGUUAAAAAGCUCGUAGUUGAAUUUCGGGAUCAAUAUGUUGGUCGUGCCUUGGUACGUACUGGCAUUAUCGAUUCCUACCUUCUGAAGAAUCUCGAUGUCAUUAAUUUGGUGUCUUGGGGAAUCAGGACUGUUACUUUGAAAAAUUAGAGUGUUUAAAGCAGGCUCGCGCUUGAAUACAUUAGCAUGGAAUAAUGAAAUAGGACGUUUGAUUCUAUUUUGUUGGUUUCUAGGAUUGACGUAAUGAUUAAUAGGGAUAGUUGGGGGCAUUAGUAUUCAAUUGUCAGAGGUGAAAUUCUUGGAUUUAUUGAAGACUAACUACUGCGAAAGCAUUUGCCAAGGAUGUUUUCAUUAAUCAAGAACGAAAGUUAGGGGAUCGAAGACGAUCAGAUAC
rnacentral:rRNA from 1 species